rnacentral:rRNA from 1 species
UACGUAGGGUGCAAGCGUUAAUCGGAAUUACUGGGCGUAAAGCGUGCGCAGGCGGCUAUGCAAGACAGAUGUGAAAUCCCCGGGCUCAACCUGGGAACUGCAUUUGUGACUGCAUGGCUAGAGUACGGUAGAGGGGGGAUGGAAUUCCGCGUGUAGCAGUGAAAUGCGUAGAUAUGCGGAGGAACACCGAUGGCGAAGGCAGCUCGGCUGGCCUAACACUGACGCUGAGGCGACGAAAGCGUGGGGGAGCAAACAGG